GUCUAUGGCCAUGCUACCCUGAACAAGUCCAAUCCCAUCCGAUCUCAGAAGCUAAGCAGAUUGGGCCUGGUUAGUACUUGGAUGGGAGACCACAUAGGAAGACCAGGUGUUUUGUAGGCA
rnacentral:rRNA from 1 species